UACCUACGGGACGCAGCAGUAGGGAAUCUUCCACAAUGGGCGAAAGCCUGAUGGAGCAACGCCGCGUGGGUGAAGAAGGUCUUCGGAUCGUAAAACCCUGUUGUUAGAGAAGAAAGUGCGUGAGAGUAACUGUUCACGUUUCGACGGUAUCUAACCAGAAAGCCACGGCUAACUACGUGCCAGCAGCCGCGGUAAUACGUAGGUGGCAAGCGUUAUCCGGAUUUAUUGGGCGUAAAGGAAACGCAGGCGGACUUUUAGGUCUGAAGCGGAGGCCUUCGGCUUAACCGGAG
rnacentral:rRNA from 1 species